AGUGAACGCUGGCGGUAGGCCUAACACAUGCAAGUCGAACGGCAGCACAGUAAGAGCUUGCUCUUACGGGUGGCGAGUGGCGGACGGGUGAGGAAUACAUCGGAAUCUACUUUUUCGUGGGGGAUAACGUAGGGAAACUUACGCUAAUACCGCAUACGACCUACGGGUGAAAGCAGGGGAUCUUCGGACCUUGCGCGAUUGAAUGAGCCGAUGUCGGAUUAGCUAGUUGGCGGGGUAAAGGCCCGCCAAGGCGACGAUCCGUAGCUGGUCUGAGAGGAUGAUCAGCCACACUGGAACUGAGACACGGUCCAGACUCCUACGGGAGGCAGCAGUGGGGAAUAUUGGACAAUGGGCGCAAGCCUGAUCCAGCCAUACCGCGUGGGUGAAGAAGGCCUUCGGGUUGUAAAGCCCUUUUGUUGGGAAAGAAAAGCAGCAGGUUAAUACCCCGCUGUUCCGACGGUACCCAAAGAAUAAGCACCGGCUAACUUCGUG
rnacentral:rRNA from 1 species